CCCUUAGAUGUUCUGGGCUGCAUGCGCGCUACACUGAAGCUAUCAACACGUUUUCCCUCCCUGAGAAGGGCGGGUAACCUUUUGAAUCAGCUUCGUGGUAGGGAUCGGGGCUUGCAAUUGUUCCCCGUGAACCAGGAAUUCCUAGUAGACGCGAGUCAUAAGCUCGCAUCGAUUAAGUCCCUGCCCUUUGUACACACCGCCCGUCGCUACUACCGAUUGAACGUUUUAGUGAGGCAUUUGGACCGACGCAUCUCAGUUUAACCGCUGGUUUGUGUUGGAAAGACUUCCAAACUUGAGCGUUUAGAGGAAGUAAAAGCCGUAACA
rnacentral:rRNA from 1 species